AGAACGAACGCUGGCGGCAGGCUUAACACAUGCAAGUCGAACGCCCCGCAAGGGGAGUGGCAGACGGGUGAGUAACGCGUGGGAAUCUACCCAGUUCUACGGAAUAACACAGGGAAACUUGUGCUAAUACCGUAUACGCCCUACGGGGGAAAGAUUUAUCGGGAUUGGAUGAGCCCGCGUUGGAUUAGCUAGUUGGUGGGGUAAUGGCCUACCAAGGCGACGAUCCAUAGCUGGUCUGAGAGGAUGAUCAGCCACACUGGGACUGAGACACGGCCCAGACUCCUACGGGAGGCAGCAGUGGGGAAUAUUGGACAAUGGGCGCAAGCCUGAUCCAGCCAUGCCGCGUGAGUGAUGAAGGCCUUAGGGUGUAAAGCUCUUUCAGUGGGAAGAUAAGUGACGGUACCACAGAAGAACGCCCCGGCUAACUUCGCGCCAGCAGCCGC
rnacentral:rRNA from 1 species